UGCCAUGCCAUGCCACCGACCAUGCCUCUAAAUGCAUGCUCUCAAAUGCUGCGGUACUUUCAUCCUUUCAUGACCAUCACUCAGAUUUAAAUGCUGAACCUUUGAACAUGACAGCGGAAAAAGUGAAAAGUCAAAUAACAACAUCAGGAAAUAGUUUUGAGACUCAUGUGCAGGUACUUACAUCAAUGUGCAGAGUAUGUGCUGGAAGGGUACAUGCUACAGAGAAAUAAAAAGAAUGUGCAACUGGAAGAUACAAGAAGAAAUUCUUGCAGUGUUUGAUGUAGGCACGUUUGAUGAUCAAGUUGAAAUCCAUCCCAAACAUCUAUCUCUAUGCCGAAAAUGUCUCAGAAAAGUUCAGCACCAGUCAUAUGAAAGAAGAAACUACGACUCGCAGCAUAUUACAGCAAUUCAGUGGAUUAAACAUCGGAGACACAAUUGCCGCAUCUGUACCGGUAAUCACAACUGAAGACUAAUUCUUAAGAAAAGAAGGAAGUACACAUGCGAUCACUUUUUUUGUAUAAAACUUUAUGUGAACUUGAGGUUACUGUGUUUGCACUUUGUGGUAAAACCGGCCUCCAACAAACGUUCUCAUAUACAUGCAACCUACGAGAAAGGCCAGUAGAACAUCAAAAAGUAGCUCUUCAAAAAGCUGGAGUCGCGAUUGAAGCAGCAAUAAGACAUAGUGUAGAUAUUCCAAGAUCAGUGGAAAGGCCUCCAGUUUCGUCAUUCGAAAGAAGCUCCAGGAAGAUGGUCACACCAUAAUUCAUACACCUGGAAGAGGUGUCCUGACCAUGAAGCUAACCCACUUCCAGUCCCGCUACGUCCUCCUCCUCCCGCUGGAUCAGACCAAGAAUGAACAAUGUUUGAAGGUUGUUGGAAACCUCUCCGCCUCUCUGGUUCAGCUUGCAGUGGAUGGGAUCAACCUCUACGAUCACAUGCCUUAGAAUAAUCCAGGAUUCUUCAGACAGGAACUUUGACACUGUUGGACAAAUUGAUAAAGAUCGUCGAGAACCCUCCAUGGCCUACCAACAUGAGGACCUGGACGAAACUUGUCGUUGAUCCUGCCCAGACACCCCUCAGUCAUUAGUCUCCUACCAACAUGAGGACCUGGAUGAAACCUGUCGUUGAUCCUCCCCCAUAGGCACCCCUCAGCCAGGAGUCUCCUACCAAUAUGAAGACCUGGAUGAAACCUGUCGUUGAUCCUCCCCCAUAGGCACCCCCCAGCCAGGAGUCUCCUACCAACAUGAGGACAUUGAUGAAACCGGUCGUUGAUCCUCCCCAGACACCCCUCAGUCAUUAGUCUCCUACCAACAUGAGGACCUGGAUGAAACCUGUCAUUGAUCCUCCCCCAUAGGCACCCCUCAGCCAGGAGUCUCCUACCAAUAUGAAGACCUGGAUGAAACCUGUCGUUGAUCCUCCCCCAUAGGCACCCCCCAGCCAGGAGUCUCCUACCAACAUGAGGACAUUGAUGAAACCGGUCGUUGAUCCUCCCCAGACACCCCUCAGCCAGGAGUCGCCUACCAACAUGAGGACAUUGAUGAAACUGGUCAUUGAUCCUCCCCCAUAGGCACCCCUCAGCCAGGAAUCUCCUACCAAUAUGAAGACCUGGAUGAAACCUGUCGUUGAUCCUCACUCAUAGGCACCCCACAGCCAGGAGUCUUCUACCAAUAUGAAGACCUGGAUGAAACCUGUCGUUGAUCCUCCCUCAUAGGCACCCCUCAGCCAGGAGUCUCCUACCAAUAUGAAGACCUGGAUGAAAUCUGUUGUUGAUCCUCCCCCAGAGGCACCCCUCAGACAGGAGUCAACUAUGAGUGACAUAGUACAUUGCCUUAGAUGCUGAGAGUGAAUACUUGGUCCAGGAAGCCCUUGAGGGAGGGGUUGAUGGUAGGAAGGAGAGUUAUCACCAUCGCCCAUUGCUUGUCAACCAUCAAGAACGCAAACAUGAAAGUCAUCCUGGAUUCUGGUGGGCUCGCAGUGACGGGUACCUACGAAGUCAAGGUACGAAUGGAUAAGUGGUUAUUCUGUUUCAGUCAUGAAAAAGGAAAAAUGGAAUUCAACUCUGUGGUUCUGUUUUCAGAAACGCGAAAAGUAAAUCACAACUUGCUUUCCGCUAUGUGAGUUUGUUUUGCACAUUCGCACAGCAAACAAUCAAAAUUGACGUCGUCUCCCUGCUUUGCUUUUCGCUCAUCAAUAUGGAAGAGCGCCAUCUGCGUCAACAAAAUGUUGAAAGCGCCGUAUUUCAUUAUUAUCUUAAUAGAAUUCAAAGUAAACCACCGUUAUAGCAUAUAUACACUGGCAGGCCAUGGUUGUUGAUUGUAUACAUGGUUGGGGCUGUUCUUAUUUUCUCUUGUGAGGAAUUUUGAAAUGACUGGUUCAAAUGUAAUAAACUUGUGAGGCAGAAUGUACGUAGGAUUGGUGUUACAUGUUCAAAUUUCUUUUUGCGAACUUAGAGCCUGGCAGCUGAAUUUGGUAUGCACUGGACUUCAGAAAGCUGAAUAUCUGGUACUACUAGAAGCAGUCCAUUAUUGCAGUCGAAGUGACUGAAUAUAAAUGCAUGAAUGAGCCUUUCUGUGGUUGACUUAUCCAGAAAAUGCCUUAUCUUUCCAAUCCCAUAUAGUCUAAUGGCUGCUGAUUUACAUAAACUAUUAACAUGAGCUUUCAUUCCAAGUUCAUCCUGAAUAAUUACUCCAAGAUCACAUGCUUUUGAAACUGACAUAAUGGGAAUAUCAGAAACAGUAAUUGACAACGAUGAUGACAUUUUGCAACCCGGUCUGAUAUACGCAACAAAAUCGAUAACUCUGAUGAUCACUAACACAGAAAAGCAUAUGUGGGACAGUGUAUUGAUAUUGCUUCUAAAUAUGCCGACAUUUGAUGGAAUUCCGUGCUUGUUUUGCUCAUUUCGCAGCAAUUACGCAUUAAUAUUUUUAAAGGUAGACUUGAUAAGAACAGUGCACAGGAUAUCUUUCCUCCCAAAUAGUGGAACGCCUUGAUUACCCUCAUGUCCAGGUUGCAUGAAAUAGAUCGAUUUACUUUUAAAGUUACAUCAUUUCAUAACUAAACCUUGUUUUAGAUAUCAAUGUUGAUCAGCUAACAUAGGUUGAACAUUUUGCUUCCACUUUGCAAUUAACUUUGCAACUACCCAUAAAUUAAUACUUACUGGUUGAGUUGCCCCAGUCUCACUAUUCUGUCCUUUUAUGCCAUGUAAGGCUUUGUCAGAAAUGGUAAGGAGAACCUCCUCUAACAACGGUUUGAACUCGUAGGAGCCUCCGCUUCUAUGAAAAAAGGUAUACAUUCAUUAAUUUCUUUCCUAAUACACCCCCUCCCUACCCAACAAAAUAAAAGAAAUAUAACAAGUUAACAGUUCCUCUGCAAUAAUGUUGUUAAUUAUACAGAAUUAUACAGUGCGUCCCAGAAAAAACGAAACCGAGAUGUACCAAUGUAAAACUUAGUAUCUCCUCUUUCAUCUGGUAUUACUUAGAUAAUUCUUUAUUCACGCAUGAGUGAGCAAAAACAAUUUGAA